rnacentral:rRNA from 1 species
UGUAGUACUAUCAACUGGGGAAGAUGUACACACGGUUCUAGAACCCGUCGCGACCCCUGGCUGUUCAGCGCUCAAGUGUGGAGCUUCCGCAGUAGGACCGUUUGGGUCUAUUCCUAUUGAAGGAGCACGGAAUGAAAGGGCUACUGUGUGUAACGUGUGAGUAGGAGAAUUCGGGCUUUAUAAGGUGCCGGUGCAUAAAGCUGGGCCUG